UAUCAUCAAGUACGAAAUUGUAUUUAUUUAAAUAAAUUCAAAAUGUAAUCAUGCUGUAAUAAAUCCAAAUCACUAAUGUGAUUUAACAAUAAUGUGCUAAAAAUAAUAAUCCUUUGAAUGUGCCAUUGUAAAAACAAUUUAGUUCAUCCAUAAAUUUCUUAGACUCUAAUUAAUCAUCAACUUGUGAGUUGCUCACAUACCCACAACCUCCAUAGCUACACAUAUCUUCCAAGUUUUCGAAUCAUCCU
rnacentral:lncRNA from 1 species